AUUAGCUCCGCAGAGCCACGCUGGCGGGCCUGAGCGCUCCCCUGGUAACCGGAGACCGGGAGCCGGGCAUUUUCCUGCGUCCAGAUAUUUUUCUGUCUACAGAAGCAGUUGCCUAAAAGACGGCAGACGUCGUGCCAGAAGAACGGUGUGUGACUCACCUCACCUCCGAACUGUUGUGGUUUAUCAUGAAAACGUCCAGGUGAUGGAGCAGCUUUCCGAAACCAGCCUGAAAUCACUGAAAUAAAAUAAACAGGAAGCACAUUACAGUAUGCGAUAUAUAUUUAUAAAUACACAUACAUACAGUUUAUAUACACACAUACCUUAAUUUACAUAGCAUUUAAGUUAUAGUUUUCAGUUGAUUUUUGACUUUAAAUAGCAUGGAGAAAAUGUAUUAAUAUAAACUGUGAUUUAUGGAUGGAUAGACAAACAUUUACGUUUUGGUUUUAUUUAAGUGUACUACAAAAAUACCAAAUAUCCAAAAUUAUAUGGAUCGAUGAUGAAAAUAUAUGUGAAAUUCAUCUGCUGAAAAUGACAUCAAUCAGCUUCCUCAGAGGUCUGUAGCUCUAAAAUUCCAGCAUGGUGUGUAGGAAAGUGGACGACGUCUUCUUCCUCUUUUGUCUGAGCACCUAGCUCCCAUCCCGGAAAGCCCGUCUCAAACAGCGGCAAUGAUAUCCCUCACCGACAUGGCUGUGCAGACGGAGAGAUGGGGAGAGGGACACUACUGUGGUUUAAAAGCACCCAAAGCAUCCUGGAUGUCUGAUCUGUGAUGAUGUCUUGAGGAUGACGAUGAGCACAGGCUCAAACCCAGACCCGUAUGGACACGUGAACACCU